UGGGGAAUUUUGCACAAUGGGGGAAACCCUGAUGCAGCGACGCCGCGUGAUUUAGAAGGCCUUCGGGUUGUAAAAAUCUUUUUUACGGGAUGAAAAUGACAGUACCGUAAGAAUAAGGUCCGGCUAAAUACGUGCCAGCAGCCGCGGUAAUACGUAUGGACCGAGCGUUGUCCAGAAUCAUUUGGCGUAAAGGGUACGUAGGCGGCCUAGUAAGUUAGAAGUGAAAUAAUAUAGCUCAACUAUAUAAAGCUUUUAAAACUGCUAGGCUUGAGAAAUGGAAGGGAAAGUGGAAUUCCUAGUGUAGCGGUGAAAUGCGCUGAUAUUAGGAAGAAUUCCGGUGGCGAAGGCGACUUUCUGGUCAUCAUCUGGCGCUGAGAUACGAAAGCGAGGGUAGCAAACAGG
rnacentral:rRNA from 1 species